CACGUAGGGCGCGAGCGUUGUCCGGAAUUAUUGGGCGUAAAGAGCUCGUAGGCGGCCUGUUGCGUCCGCUGUGAAAGCCCGGGGCUUAACCCCGGGUCGGCAGUGGAUACGGGCAGGCUAGAGGUAGGUAGGGGAGAAUGGAAUUCCCGGUGUAGCGGUGAAAUGCGCAGAUAUCGGGAGGAACACCGGUGGCGAAGGCGGCAUCCUGGACCGAUACUGACGCUGAGGAGCGAAAGCCAGGGGGGCAAACGGG
rnacentral:rRNA from 1 species